rnacentral:lncRNA from 1 species
AUGGGUCAGGUGAGAUCGGCAGAGACUACAGACAAAAUGAAAGAUGGUGCCACUAAGCCCUCUCUGAAUCCCAGUGCUCAGCAGGUGUCUCUCCCACACAUCACGGACACCAUCCAGCUGUCUCCCAUAGCAGGACCUCACAAGAGGCCAGAGGUCGCUGCUGGACAGGAGGCAUCUGUGACCGCCAGAGAACAAGGCCACAAAGACUUCUCCCCAAAACACAAGCACUCUGCCGCCCAUCCUGUGACUCUUGCUGAAGCUGUGUCCUGCUUCUUUCCACCGAUGAUUUGUUUUAGAGGCAGCUCAUAUUGUACAAUACUUCACAUUUUUAUGCAUAAAUGUUUCAAAAGAUUAAAACUAUUCACAUGAACAACUGGCAUGUUUCGUCU